CCUACGGGAGGCUGCAGUGGGGAAUAUGGGACAAUGGGGGGAACCCUGAUCCAGCCAUGCCGCGUGUGUGAAGAAGGCCCGCGGGUUGUAAAGCACUUUCAGUGAGGAAGAACGCCUGGUGGUUAAUACCCAUCAGGAAAGACAUCACUCACAGAAGAAGCACCGGCUAACUCCGUGCCAGCAGCCGCGGUAAUACGGAGGGUGCGAGCGUUAAUCGGAAUUACUGGGCGUAAAGCGCGCGUAGGUGGCUUGAUAAGCCGGUUGUGAAAGCCCCGGGCUCAACCUGGGAACGGCAUCCGGAACUGUCAAGCUAGAGUGCAGGAGAGGAAGGUAGAAUUCCCGGUGUAGCGGUGAAAUGCGUAGAGAUCGGGAGGAAUACCAGUGGCGAAGGCGGCCUUCUGGACUGACACUGACACUGAGGUGCGAAAGCGUGGGUAGCAAACAGGAUUAGAUACCCCAGUAGUC
rnacentral:rRNA from 1 species